CAUUCUGCAGAGCAACCGAGACUGCAGGUCUUGAUUGGAAGGCUUGUCCCAAUCAGGCUUUCCAGCUAGGACCUGCAGCCUUAGUUGCUGUGAAUAAAUCU
rnacentral:pre_miRNA from 1 species